rnacentral:rRNA from 1 species
UACGUAGGGUGCGAGCGUUAAUCGGAAUUACUGGGCGUAAAGCGUGCGCAGGCGGUUGUGCAAGACAGAUGUGAAAUCCCCGGGCUUAACCUGGGAACUGCAUUUGUGACUGCACGGCUAGAGUGUGUCAGAGGGGUGUAGAAUUCCACGUGUAGCAGUGAAAUGCGUAGAUAUGUGGAGGAAUACCGAUGGCGAAGGCAGCCCCCUGGGAUAACACUGACGCUCAUGCACGAAAGCGUGGGGAGCAAACAGG